GAGAUCGGGAUAACACCUGGAAACAGAUGCUAAUACCGGAUAACAACAGAUGAUGCCUAUCAACUGUUUAAAAGAUGGUUCUGCUAUCACUCUUGGAUGGACCUGCGGUGCAUUAGCUAGUUGGUAGGGUAACGGCCUACCAAGGCGAUGAUGCAUAGCCGAGUUGAGAGACUGAUCGGCCACAUCGGGACUGAGACACGGCCCAAACUCCUACGGGAGGCAGCAGUU
rnacentral:rRNA from 1 species